AUUGCUGCAGAACCAUUUUUUAAAGUGAUAAAGGAUGUGCUGAUUAGAUGCGGGCUUUCACCAAAGAUGCCUACAGGCUGUACAUUUGAUGGAGCUUCAGCAAUGGUCAAACUGGGACGCCUGAUCAAUGAGUAUACAAAUGGGCAAUCAGUUUACAUUCACUGGCUCACUGCAAUGACAUGAUUAUCAGAGAUGCCAUCGCCAAAAGCUCACUGUUUGCAAAUGCAACGCUGAGGUGUCAGGAUCUUUAUGCGCUUGCAGGUGUCUCCCCUAAAGAAUCAUGCUUUUUGAAGAGUUGCAAACUGAUGAAGAUGACAACACCAAAAAAACGCAAAGGUUGCAAAAUUUUUCAGUGACUAGAUGGACCACAAGAGGGAGAGCGGCAAAGAUAACAUCGAAACAUAGUUGUUAUCUAUAAAAUCUCUGUCAAAACGUAGUUGUUAUCUACAAAAUCUUCUCGAUCAUUUUAGAAAUCGAUUCAGCCUCGAAUAUUUAAUAUGUUUACGAGAGUUUCAUGUCAAAAAGAAACCGUUGGCAGUUAGAUUAAAUAAAAAUGGACAUGUUGUUGCAUUGUUUGAGGAAAAACAACCUUCGGAUUUUAGUCGGUAAAAUUGGGAUUUUGACAGGUGGAUGAUGUUUUUUAAAUUUUCAAAAAUUGUCCUUCAUGUAAUUUUUAAAAACAUUCAAAAUAUUAAAAAGAUCUGCAGUUUAAUUUUUCUGUUCAUCCAGAAGAGGAUUUUCAGGAACAUAACAGAAGAAGAUUAAUCCCAAGAAAUUUUAAAAAAACAGAGACAAUUUUAGUCUGACAGAUGCAUUUUUAGCCAUUCUAAAAGGCUUUAUUUCAGAAAAAAUGUUUUCAAAUCGGACCCAACCAAAUACUUGGGAUGUGACUCUGUUAUUCUUAUUAUGAAUGAAAAGCAGGUGGUGGCUUUUGGUUCUCAAAAGGCAAGAAUAUUCUAGCACAAAACUUUCAAGUUAAAAUUCUUUACGUGCAUAUUUUUUUGUAAGAUUUAUAAAUUAAUAAUUGCAUUUUAAUAUUUAGCGAUAUUUCCUAUCUUUUUUAGUCAAAUAAAGCAGAGCCAACUUUUAUUAAUGCUUAGUAAUGCUUUUAGUUGUCCUGUAGUUCUCUUCAAACACUGGCAGUCAAACCGGAUGGACAAUUGGCACCUUAUGCCAUUUGUUUAUCUCAAUUUAUUCAUUUACUUAUUGUACAUUAUUUCCAUAAUUCAAAGUUUUGGCAAUGAUUUUUGAAACAGUGAUACUACCCUCAAUAAAAUUCCACCCUUAAAACGAAAAUAUAAUCCAACAUUCAAUUACGUUUUCAAGGGUUUGACUUUAUAAACUUCCUGUUGGCUAAAAAAUAUUCAAAAAAUUCUUACCGUCGCAGAUACAAAUCUUGCUUAAAUAUUUUAUAAAAUUUAUUAUAAUUAUAUUACUUAGCGAGCUAAAAAAAAUUUUCAAUGCUUCAAUACUCAGCACAAGCUGACUUAAUUUUAGAUGCCAACACCAAAGAAAGAGACGCUUACACAUACAAGAAAGAGCAAUAUCCCUUUAACCAUAAAUAUGGAAAAUUUUUUCAGAAAUUAGUUUCAUCAUAGACCAAAAUCAAAUAACUAGAAUGCAUCAAUGCACAAAAACUUAAACCCAAUUUCUGAAAUCUCUUUGCACCAACCUAUUAUUGUAUUUCAAAAAUGAAUUAUUUGCUGAAAAACUAUUCUUCAGCAAACGUUUCAUAUCUUCAAGUAAGAUUAAUGUUGUCUGCAAAUGGCUGACCAGCAGCUUGAAGCUAAUAGGGGUGAACAAGUUCUGUAAGUUUCUUGCAUUGUCCCUCCACCCCAAUGCAUAAAGACAAACCACAGUCUCUACCUAUCUGUUGUCAUAGCACUUUUAGUAUAAGAAAAAAGUAAAGUUUAAAAAACAAUGCCAAUAAACAAGAUAGAACAGAGAGCUUACAUGGUUUCAUUUGAAUUGCAAUCGCAGGCACACAAUUUUUUCUGAUGUGUUGAAAAAGAAAUAAUUGUGUUGACACUUCAUUGUUAACCAAUAGAAUUGUGAACAUGAAUUUUGAUUUUAUAAAGCAGACUCAGUAUACAUAAAAAAGAAGGCUGGCUGUUACAUUUUAUACAUUAGAAGGGUAUACUUCAAUUUCAGCUGAAGCUAUUCAAAGACCUGUAGCGAAAGUUCCUUAUUGGCAUGAGGGCUUCACAGUUGUUGGAUUGCCACAUGGAAUUCCAUUUUGUAAACCAUGUGACUAUGGAACAAAGCAGAGGGAAAAUAUCAUGUCUGCCAGUGGGGCAGGAAUCAAAGUCACCAGAAUUUGGUGAUCUACAAGCCAUCCUAACUCGUCAUAUAUAUCAAAAGGAGGCUAUGUAAACAGGUCAAGCUGUGUUUACAGCACUUGUUUCACAGAUACAGGAAGCGGAUGCUACAAAAUGGAAAAUGAUGGAGAAGCUAAAAACGAACCAUCUGGAACUUUCCGCCGACAGCUUGCACGACCUGAAUUGGGAUCAGUGGAAGUUCGGUGCUUAUGCAACAAACUGCUGCCGUCCCCAUUUCCACAACCAGGUGGACUUUUCCGGCCAAUAAUGAUGAUGACUCUAAUGAGAUUGUGAGUGUUUUGUAUGACAACGUUCUACCGAAGUAUAGUUUUGCUUACGAGCAAAGUCAAAGAGAGUCAAAGCAAAGAAGAUCGAGAAAAUACUUUAAGAAAAAGACCUCACAAACGGGAAACAUAGGCCUAGCCCAACAAACAGAGGCAGAGGAGCCUCGUUUUUUAGAAGUAGAUUGAAGGAUUGAAAAUCUUCCACCAGUGUGGAUUUCCAAAGCAGUGGAGAAGAAGCAGCAGAACCAGAAGAAGAUGGUAAUGUUUAUUUUAAAUUCACUUAAAGUAGUUACUUACAAUUAUAAUUGCAUUAUGAAAUAAGAGAAAGGUAUAAUUUGCUGCAAAAAACUUUGCAAUGGACAUUCUUUGUAAUAUUAGGGAAGUAAUCGCUCACUAAAGUCUCCACACUUGCUCAAAUUGUCAUACUAUUGCACACCUCCUGUAAAAAUAAAAAUUUCCGAGAAUUUCAAAGAAAAUCAAACUACCUUAAAGUUUGAAGAUAUACUUUUGAAUGUUUCUAAAGCAGUGGAAAGUCAAAGUUACCAAAUUAAAAGACAGUCCUCUUGGUUUCCAAAGUGUAGAAUUCUUCUUGUAUGGGAUUUAACAACAGUGUGACAAAGUAGUUAUAUAUCUUGGCAUGAAAGGUAGCCUGAUCAAACUGGAUAUUUUUUAUGAAUAUCCUCAAUAUAUAAUAAUAAAUAAUUUGUUUAAAGUUGGCGUACUAAAUGAACGGCUGAUAGCUAUAAAGAAGCUAAUUAAGGCCAACUAUCUAUAAAGAGUUAGUAUGAAAUAAAAAUAUAUGAUACAAUAUUAAAAAGGUUUAAGGUAUAAUGUUCUAAAUAAAACCUAACCCAGCAAUAAAUUUUUUACACAAUCUACAGUCGCAUUCUAUAGGGUGUGCUCUUAAUUCUUUUUUAAAUGUUGCCAAUGAUUGGGACUCUCUUAUACUGUGAGGUAGUGUUUGCCACAGUUUUUGACCUAAAUAUCUCACAGUUUCUAUACCAUAAGAAGUUGUCCUGGCUUUUGGAAUGCAAA